UAAAUAACUAUACUAAUAUGUUAUAGCUAGCUAACAGUUAGCUUGUUAGCGUAACUUAGAUUUUAAUGGGAAUCUGUAAUAAUUUCCCUUUUUAAUCAAGUAUUGUGGAUUGAAAACUUCCUUUUGACACAUUAUAAAUCGUUAAAUGGUACGCUGUUGUUUACAGAAGUAGUACAUGGCAACAGAAACCCGUCCAAUAUUAUGAUAUUGUUUAUUAUUUUCAUCGCACUGAGAUUAUGAUCGCUAAAUCGCGAAAGCGCAAUCACUGUCGUUGCUAGGUAACACUGCCCAGAGGUUGCUGACAUGACGUAACAGUAAGAUCCCAAUGGGCAAAAACGUAAAGUAGCCUCACGUUAACUCCAAUGAACAAUCUAAGAUAACGUUACUUGGCAUCGUCUUGGCAUUUACGUUUAUAACGAGACCCAAGCCGGCAGGUGCAUUUAGGUUUUCGAGCUUUUCUGGACAUUUGUUUUUCUUCCCCCACAAUGUUGGGUUCCCUGAAAACUUCCGUCAGCUAUCCUACUCGAAUGCAAGUUAGUUAGCUAACGUUAGCUAAGCUAGCUAGUCGCUUGAACAAGUUGCAGUGUUACCUAAUGAUACCGGACCGGUGUCCAUUGCGAUGCUGUAAAUUGUAGACUGCACUGGUACUGACUGAGGGCGCUUGGACCAUACUAACAUAACGUUAGUACAAUACAACCCCGGCAUUCAAGAUUCAAAGCUCAUCGGUCUCUCCAUCGAAGGGCACAGCAUCUGUCUCCAUAUGAAUGGUGCCGGGCUCACCACUGCCCACCCAGCCAAUAGGAGUGCGGUUGAAGGAAGGCCGGCAGCCGAUGUCUUGUUGGUACACAACUGCGGGUUCAGGCUCCUGUUUGGCCUCGGCUUCUGGCAGCUGGAAUUUCAUGAACUGGUUGGCCUUCUCAAAGCCGCCAAAGGGCAUGGCACACCUAAACAAAGCAAGACUCACUGCUGAAGACGUCUGGGUUGUUCUCGUAGAUGAACCUCUCCACUCUCUGCUGCCUCAUCCUGAACAUCUUGGAGCCUUUGUUCUUCAUCAGGGAAAGCUCCUCCAGCAUGAUGUCUUUGGGAGUCCUAAUCUUUGUUCCCAGGUCGAACUCUGAUGCCUCUGGCUCCGACUCAUAUUCUGGACACCUCACCUAAGGUCUCACUGCGUCUUCUGGAAAUCAAAUGGCCUUGACUUGUAUUCAAGGGUCGUUGUAAGCUCCUCAUCGACCGGGUUAUUCACAGGACCAACCAUGGGUAUGAGCUGGCUGCGGGAGCCCAACAUCAGGGCCUCCUUUGCUCUCUCAGGGGAUACCAGUGGCACGUUGGCUGGCUCUAGAAAGCCACUAUCCUCCUCUUGCCCUCCAUCCCGUGGCCCCUGGUCAUCUGCUGAGGAGAUGAUGGAGGAGGUCUCAGUGGAUGUCUGGGAGGACCACAUUCCUGGAGCAGGAGGCUGGUAAAUCACCUCCCUCCGUGCUACCCCCGGUAGGCCCCC